CCUACGGGGGGCUGCAGUGGGGAAUAUUGGACAAUGGGGGCAACCCUGAUCCAGCCAUGCCGCGUGUGUGAAGAAGGCCCUCGGGUUGUAAAGCACUUUCAGUGAGGAAGAACGCCUGGUGGUUAAUACCCAUCAGGAAAGACAUCACUCACAGAAGAAGCACCGGCUAACUCCGUGCCAGCAGCCGCGGUAAUACGGAGGGUGCGAGCGUUAAUCGGAAUUACUGGGCGUAAAGCGCGCGUAGGUGGCUUGAUAAGCCGGUUGUGAAAGCCCCGGGCUCAACCUGGGAACGGCAUCCGGAACUGUCAAGCUAGAGUGCAGGAGAGGUAGGUAGAAUUCCCGGUGUAGCGGUGAAAUGCGUAGAGAUCGGGAGGAAUACCAGUGGCGAAGGCGGCCUUCUGGACUGACACUGACACUGAGGUGCGAAAGCGUGGGUAGCAAACAGGAAUAGAUACCCCAGUAGUC
rnacentral:rRNA from 1 species